GACGAACGCUGGCGGCGUGCCUAAUACAUGCAAGUUGAGCGCUGAAGGUUGGUACUUGUACCAACUGGAUGAGCAGCGAACGGGUGAGUAACGCGUGGGGAAUCUGCCUUUGAGCGGGGGACAACAUUUGGAAACGAAUGCUAAUACCGCAUAAAAACUUUAAACACAAGUUUUAAGUUUGAAAGAUGCAAUUGCAUCACUCAAAGAUGAUCCCGCGUUGUAUUAGCUAGUUGGUGAGGUAAAGGCUCACCAAGGCGAUGAUACAUAGCCGACCUGAGAGGGUGAUCGGCCACAUUGGGACUGAGACACGGCCCAAACUCCUACGGGAGGCAGCAGUAGGGAAUCUUCGGCAAUGGACGAAAGUCUGACCGAGCAACGCCGCGUGAGUGAAGAAGGUUUUCGGAUCGUAAAACUCUGUUGGUAGAGAAGAACGUUGGUGAGAGUGGAAAGCUCAUCAAGUGACGGUAACUACCCAGAAAGGGACGGCUAACUACG
rnacentral:rRNA from 1 species